UACGUAGGGUGCGAGCGUUAAUCGGAAUUACUGGGCGUAAAGCGUGCGCAGGCGGUUCGUUGUGUCCGUCGUGAAAGCCCCGGGCUUAACCUGGGAACUGCGAUGGAAACUAGCGAGCUGGAGUGUGGCAGAGGGGGGUGGAAUUCCGCGUGUAGCAGUGAAAUGCGCAGAUAUCAGGAGGAACACCGAUUGCGAAGGCAGCUCGCUGGGACGUAACUGACGCUGAGACGCGAAAGCGUGGGGAGCAAACAGG
rnacentral:rRNA from 1 species